rnacentral:sRNA from 2 species
ACUGCUUUUCUUUGAAUAUCCCCAAGAUUGAGGAAGCCCGAUAGUCACCAAUUUGGUUUUAACUAUCGGGUUUUUUAUU